UGUUAUUACUGUCUGAUUUGAUCGGAGGCAGGGGGUGGUCUCCAAUCAAACAGAGAAAAGGUCCUGGAGAAGAUGUAUCUUUAAAGCUGUCCUGCUGAAUUGGAAGUCCCUGGAGGGCAGAACUGGCACCCUGUUCAAUCUGGAAUGCCCAGAAAUUCAAUCAACAGAAGUCAGUAUUGAUUUCACACCCUCCUGGACCCCUAUUUGAGUCUCUGUGUGGUGGCCCCUCUCCCCGGAAGUGAAGUCUUCCAGACUAUGGGUUGCUUUGGUCAGAGUUAUUGGAAUGAGAAGAGAGAAUUUGCCUUUUAAUUGGUCUUUUCCAGACUUCUGGUGAGAUUCCUAACACUACCAACCUCAGGAGUACAGAGCCCAGAGAAAGUCCAUUGGGGUCCAUUUUCAGGAUGGUGCAUAUGGGAACAAUAAUUUAUGAACGGUAAUAAGAGUUGGGGAUGCAAUUCCCUGCCCAACAUCAGGAUAAGUGUACCCCACUGAUUACCGAAUGCGCAGAAAAUCCUUGACUAAAUAGGAUAAAAGCAGUCUGCACUUCUUGUUUGUAAGUUGGCAUUUUUCAAAAGGACAAAGUCUCUCACCAUACAGAGUGCAGCAUUUCGACCAUAGUGGUUGGGCAGCCAGCCCUUGGGAUUCUCCUGUCCCAGUCUUCCCAGAUGUGGGGUUAUUCAUUUGAGUAUUCGAACCCAGCUCAGUUUCUUGGCCAUCAUGAGCCAUCUUUUCCCAAUUGAGUACUCGAAAGAAGAAAACUGGGCUAGAGAAACAGGAUCUCGGAUGAUUAUAAUUGAAGAGUGUCUAUUGCUCCAGAGCCACGAUCUAUGAGCUAGAAGACAGCUGGGACAGCAAAUUCUUGACUCGCUUAUCAUCAUGUUCCCUUUCCAUGGUCAGCCCAGACUCUGGGCUCCAUCACAACACACUAGUCUGUUCAGCAUGGAGUACCUUUUUUGCCUCUUCUAGUCCAGCCAUCCAGGCAAAUCAAUCAAUACACAGGAGAAAAUUGAUUUUGUACAUGCCCAACCUCUGUCUUAACUGAUACAAAGAUUUCAAAGGAACAAUGUUCAAUUUGAAGUGGCAAUUCAUAAGUGACCCAUCGUGUCAAGCUGGAGAGCAGGAGGGACACCCAGCUUUUUAAAGCGAGCUUAUCAAUCACUGUAUCCCGAAUAAGCAUCUUCAUCCCAGCUACAGAAAAUAGAAGGCUGUAGAAAAGAACAGGAGGCUAGCCAUGCUUUCAACCUUAUUUUAAAGUAAUUAUAUGAAAAAAGUCUGUGUUUAUAAACUAAUAAAUUAUACACUUUUAAAAUG
rnacentral:lncRNA from 1 species